rnacentral:rRNA from 1 species
GUAGGGUGCGAGCGUUAAUCGGAAUUACUGGGCGUAAAGCGUGUGCAGGCGGUUAUGUAAGACAGAUGUGAAAUCCCCGGGCUCAACCUGGGAACUGCAUUUGUGACUGCAUGGCUAGAGUACGGUAGAGGGGGAUGGAAUUCCGCGUGUAGCAGUGAAAUGCGUAGAUAUGCGGAGGAACACCGAUGGCGAAGGCAAUCCCCUGGACCUGUACUGACGCUCAUGCACAAAAGCGUGGGGAGCAAACAGGAUUAGAUACCCUGGUAGUCCCACGCCCUAAACGAUGUCAACUGGCUGUUGGGAAUUAGUUUUCUCAGUAACGAAGCUAACGCGUGAAGUUGACCGCCUGGGGAGUACGGCCGCAAGGUUG